GCCAUGCGAGUCGAGAGGGUUCGGCCCUCGGCAGACUGCUCAGUAACACGUGGAUAACCUAACCUUAGGUGGAGGAUAAUCUCGGGAAACUGAGAAUAAUACUCCAUAGAUCUAAGAUACUGGAAUGUACUUAGAUUAAAAGUUGCGGCGCCUAAGGAUGGGUCUGCGGACUAUCAGGUAGUAGUCAGGGUAAAGACCUGACUAGCCUACGACGGAUAUGGGUUGUGAGAGCAAUAGCCCAGAGACGAUAUCUGAGACACGAUAUCGGGCCCUACGGGGCGCAGCAGGCGCGAAAUCUUCACAAUGUGCGAAAGCACGAUGAGGGAAUCCCAAGUGCUGGCACGUAAGUGUCAGCUGUUUCUUAGUCUAAAAAACUUAGAGAGUAAGAGCUGGGUAAGACGGGUGCCAGCCGCCGCGGUAAUACCUGCAGCUCAAGUGGUGGCCGCUAUUAUUGGGCCUAAAACGUCCGUAGCCUGUUUAGUAAAUGCUUGGGUAAAUUGUAUAGCUUAACUAUAUGAAUACCGAGUAGACUGCUAGACUUGGGACCGGGAGAGGCUAGAGGUACUCCUGGGGUAGAGGUGAAAUUCUGUAAUCCUAGGGGGACCACCAGUGGCGAAGGCGUCUAGCUAGAACGGGUCUGACGGUGAGGGACGAAGCCCUGGGGCGCAAACCGGAUUAGAUACCCGGGUAGUCCAGGGUGUAAACGCUGCUUGCUUGAUGUUAGUUGGGCUCCGAGCCCAACUAGUGUCGGAGAGAAGUUGUUAAGCAAGCUGCCUGGGAAGUACGGUCGCAAGACUGAACUUAA
rnacentral:rRNA from 1 species